rnacentral:rRNA from 1 species
CAGUCGACGGCAGCACGGGAGCAAUCCUGGUGGCGAGUGGCGAACGGGUGAGUAAUAUAUCGGAACGUGCCCUGGAGUGGGGGAUAACGCAGCGAAAGUUGCGCUAAUACCGCAUACGAUCUAAGGAUGAAAGCGGGGGAUUCGCAAGAACCUCGUGCUCCUGGAGCGGCCGAUAUCUGAUUAGCUAGUUGGUGGGGUAAAGGCCUACCAAGGCAUCGAUCAGUAGCUGGUCUGAGAGGACGACCAGCCACACUGGAACUGAGACACGGUCCAGACUCCUACGGGAGGCAGCAGUGGGGAAUUUUGGACAAUGGGCGAAAGCCUGAUCCAGCAAUGCCGCGUGAGUGAAGAAGGCCUUCGGGUUGUAAAGCUCUUUUGUCAGGGAAGAAACGGUGUGGGCUAAUAUCCUGCACUAAUGACGGUACCUGAAGAAUAAGCACCGGCUAACUACGUGCCAGCAGCCGCGGUAAUACGUAGGGUGCAAGCGUUAAUCGGAAUUACUGGGCGUAAAGCGUGCGCAGGCGGUUUUGUAAGUCUGUCGUGAAAUCCCCGGGCUCAACCUGGGAAUUGCGAUGGAGACUGCAAGGCUAGAAUCUGGCAGAGGGGGGUAGAAUUCCACGUGUAGCAGUGAAAUGCGUAGAGAUGUGGAGGAACACCGAUGGCGAAGGCAGCCCCUGGGUCAAGAUUGACGCUCAUGCACGAAAGCGUG